rnacentral:rRNA from 1 species
UACGUAGGUGGCAAGCGUUGUCCGGAUUUACUGGGCGUAAAGAGCGCGCAGGCGGUCGUUCAAGUCGCGUGUGAAAGCCCCCGGCUCAACUGGGGAGGGUCAUUCGAUACUGCUCGACUCGAAGGCAGGAGAGGGAAGUGGAAUUCCCGGUGUAGUGGUGAAAUGCGUAGAUAUCGGGAGGAACACCAGUGGCGAAGGCGACUUUCUGGCCUGUUCUUGACGCUGAGGCGCGAAAGCUAGGGGAGCAAACGGG